AAAUAAGACGUAUGGGAAGAUACAUGUGAUGCAUGCAAAUACAUCCUUUCCUCAUCAAGGAUUUCUUUUUUAAAUCAGCAAAGAACAUUAAUAAGCCCAUGGAAGGAAGUUCCACAAAAGUAACUCCAUGGUUGAAGAUCUAGGUGGACCGUGAUGUCCUUGUCAGUUAUCCUCCCUAUGCAUAUUCAGUUAUUGAUUUUAUACAUGUACCCUCUAUUUUUGGAAAGACAGACUCCUUUAUAGGCAGGGAAAUUCUACGUUUUUGCUUUACUAUAUUUCUGGUCCACAUUGUUUAUUUACUAUAUUUAUGGUCC
rnacentral:lncRNA from 1 species